rnacentral:lncRNA from 1 species
CUUUUGCCAGUGACCGCGCCCACACUACUUCCUGGCAACCAAGACCUUCACCAUUCAUCUGUCAGAUUUUCCCCUGAUGCACACAGCACAGCAGAGAGAACCGCUGGAUCUGAGUUAGAGCUGGAGGAGGACGUGCAGGGGGAAAAUUACCUUCCAAAUGAGUGGCUUUACAUCCAUCACAUCCCUACCCCAAGGAGCAGAUGGAGGGGGCAGCGGGGCCUCUCCUCUUACAAAGGUGGCCAAGAGUCCUGGAGAAGACGGCCCUCCGGCAACAUACUUCUUCCCCCCAAGCAAAGGCAGCUGACAGAACACUUAGUUCUAACCUCCAUCCAGCCUUAUUCCAUACCAGGCCAAAUGGAUCCACCAUCUUCUUGUCUCACAUUGUCAACAAGCUCUUCCCACCUAAAGAAAUGGAGGAAAGAUGGAAUGGGUUCACUCAUUGUUUUAGUUCAGACUGCUAUAACAAAAAUACUAGUGGCUCAACCAACAGACCUCUACUUCUCACAGUUCUGGAGCUGGAAGGUCAAAAUUAAAGUACCAACAGAUACAGUGACUGCUGAGCGCUCACUUCCUGGUUUGCAGAAGGCUGUAUUCUUAUUGUAUCUUCACAUGACAGAGAGCAGAGAGAGGAAGCAAACUCUCUCCAGCCUCUUUUUAGAAGAGCUCCAAUUCCAUCAUGAGGUGUCCACCCUUACAAUCUAAUUGCUUUCCAAAGGCCCCCAUCUCCAAAUACCAUUGUCUGGAGGGUUGGGUUUCAAUAUGUGAAUUUUGACAGUUAGUUCAUAGCACGCAUCCAAGAUAGGAGGCUGGAACGUUUGGUUGUGAUCUGUUCAAUGAGGCUCACUGAGGGAGCUCACAGUGCACCCUUUUGGAAGCUUUGGGCAUGGAUACAGGACACCAUUUUCUUUGGGGCUGGUGAAUGACCGACCAGUUUCCCAGGGUCUCCCUGCUGAGCUGGGUAAAGGAGCACAAGGGCAGAGAAACCAGGGGGCCAAACAUCAUUUUCCUUUUUCUUACCUAUCUGUGAACUCUGAGGUGCUGAGGGCCAUUUCUCUACCUCACAAACAUAGAGAACUCCCAGGAUUCUCCACAAACCUCUCUGUGGUCCAUUAGGGUCAUGUACAUUAACUUUCAUCAUUGACUAACAGUCACUCUUACCAUCUGAUUUCCUUAAAAGAAAAUAACUUCUAACCAGACAAUAUUUGGACUAUGCUUUCAAAAUUAGUUUUUUAAAGCUUCAAAAUUUGGUAAACAGUCAGGCAUAUUUGAAUUGCUUCCAUAUUUCUCUCUGCUACCAGAAGACAUUCUGAUUGUCACUUAGCACCCCCUUGAUUAAAAUAAAGACAACAGCUCAGUGCUGAGUGUUGGCUUUUCCUACUACCCUUCCUUACCCAUAUGCAGCUGUCUGCGUACUGUCUGUCUGUCUCUCUCUGUUUCUCAAGAGAGAGGUUGUGAUAAUUUACAAACACUGGACAUUAGGUCAAUUUCAGUUGCUCUUUUCAAUUCCUAACAAACUUUUCAGGGGCAUUGGGAAAUUAUG